GACGAACGCUGGCGGCGUGCUUAACACAUGCAAGUCGAACGGAAAGGCCCUGCUUUUGUGGGGUGCUCGAGUGGCGAACGGGUGAGUAACACGUGAGUAACCUGCCCUUGACUUUGGGAUAACUUCAGGAAACUGGGGCUAAUACCGGAUAGGAGCUCCUGCUGCAUGGUGGGGGUUGGAAAGUUUCGGCGGUUGGAGAUGGACUCGCGGCUUAUCAGCUUGUUGGUGGGGUAGUGGCUUACCAAGGCUUUGACGGGUAGCCGGCCUGAGAGGGUGACCGGCCACAUUGGGAAUGAGAAACGGCCCAGACUCCUACGGGAGGCAGCAGUGGGGAAUAUUGCACAAUGGGCGGAAGCCUGAUGCAGCAACGCCGCGUGCGGGAUGACGGCCUUCGGGUUGUAAACCGCUUUCGCCUGUGACGAAGCGUGAGUGACGGUAAUGGGUAAAGAAGCACCGGCUAACUACGUG
rnacentral:rRNA from 1 species